GCAACAGACAUUCAACCGUUCAUAGUCAGUUUUAUUAUAUAUAGUAGAGAGUGAGAUACUGAAAAAUACACAGUGAGAUAUUUUCCGUAUCUUCACUAGUGAAGAUAUCGAUCACGUGACUUUUAGUAUUUAUACAAUUUUUUGCUUGGGACUAUACAGGGUGUAUCAAAAAAAACUGAACAGAUUUGAAAUUGCUCUCAAUUUCGCAAAACACCUAUUUGUAUCUGAUUUUUUAUAUAUAUAACUUCUUUGGGUACUUAUAAUGUAAAAUAAUGAAAAAAAUUUCCCGAACUCAAAUUUUGUGAACCAGGGGGGUGUGUCUUUUCCAACAAACUAAAAAUGGCUCGCGCACAAAAUUUAAAAGCUGUAAUAAUAUUUUGAGUUGAUAGAUUGAAAAUUUGUCGGGUUUUUAAUUACUGUACAAAAUUUCAGACAAUUUGGUUUAGUUUAAGCCCCUUUAACUAUUCAUUUUGUUCUAAAAAGUCAGCCUUUCGCAUGCUUAAUUAAUGCCUUUACCUAAUUUGCAUAUUGUUGACAUAUGCAAAUUAGGCAAAUGCAUUAAUUAAGCAUGCAAAUAGCUGAUUUUUCGGGAAAAUUGUAACUUUGCGUAAAUAGUUAAGGGGCUUAAACUAAACCAAAUUGUCUGAAAUUUUGUACAGUAAUUAAAAUCCCGACAAAUUUUCCAUCUGUCGACUCAAAAUAUGAUUGCAGCUUUUAAAUUUUGUGCGCGAGCCAUUUUUAGUUUGUUGGAAAAGACACACCCCCCUGGUUCACAAAAUUUGAGUUCGAGAAAUUUUUUUCAUUAUUUUACAUUAUAAGUACCCAAAGAAGCUAUAUGUAUUAAAAAACAGAUACAAAUAGCUGUUUUGCAAAAUUGAGAGCAAUUUUAAAUCUGUUCAGUUUUUUUUGAUACACCCUGUAUAAUAAACAGAACAUUACACGUUGGCUUGAAGAUAUGACUUUUAUCUUCUCGUGUUAUAAAAACAAUAUUUUACUCACUCUGCGCUCGUUCGUAAAAUAUGUUCUUUUCACCACUCGAAGAUAAAAAGUCUUAUUAUAUACACAAGGUCUGGAUAUGAGGUAUUCUGCAAUCCGAUUGGUUCUCUACUAGCAGGAUAUUAGCU